UAAAAAAGAGGAAAAAAGGCUCAGUAAUUUAAAUUUGCUCUCUCAGUUCAGGCUGCAUCGCUGGGUCCCGCCCCUUCUUCCCGCUGGGUUCCACUACCUGCGAGGCUGGAACUGACAGCCACUGUGUAAACACAAAAAGGCAACAAGCAUGCUGGGACCAUUCUCAUUCUGCUUCCUGUUUGGGUCUCACUUGUCCUGACAACCAAAAAUCAUCAUUGAAAGAAAUUCCAGAAAAUUGCCGUGAGCGACAACAGAAGAUGGCUUGGAGUUAAACCAGGCAAAGACUUUGAACUUUACAAGCCACUCCCAUUCUUUGGGGCACGAGUGACUCAGCACCAGUGUCAGACAGCACAAGGGAUCCACCGAACCACAAAGGAGGUAUGACAAUGAAUAUGUGACCAU